rnacentral:rRNA from 1 species
GACGACGCUGGCGGCGUGGAUUAGGCAUGCAAGUCGGACGGUAGGGCUUUAUCGUAAGAUAGAGUUUGAGAGUGGCGAACGGGUGAGUAACACGUAGGAAUCUACCCUUAAGACGGGGACAACCCAGGGAAACUUGGGCUAAUACCGGAUGAGAGUGCGAGAGAUUGCAUUUAAAAGGAUGGCGAAAGUUAUCGCUUAGGGAUGAGCCUGCGGUCUAUUAGUUAGUUGGUGGGGUAAGAGCUCACCGAGGCGAUGAUAGAUAGGCGGCCUUAACGGGUGGUCGCCCACACUGGGAUUGAGAUACGGCCCAGACUCCUACGGGAGGCAGCAGUCGAGAAUAGUCUACAAUGGCCGGAAGGCUGAUAGUGCGACGCCGCGUGAACGAGGGAGCCCUUCGGGGUGUAAAGUUCUUUUCUAUACGAGCAGUGCUAUAUAUAUGGAUAGUAUAUAUAGAGGGAUAGUAGUAUAGGAAUAAGCAACGGCUAACUCCGUG